GUAACAAUUACUUUUAGUUGUAAGAACCAGUCUCACAACUUGCAAUUAUGGCCAUAGAAUUUUAGCGGUGCACACUAGCACGCACUUCAGAAAUUAUCUAGUCCAGAUCCUUCUUAUAGAUAAAGCAACUGAAGACAACACGGUGACUGGGUGACCUUGGGCAAUUCACCUAUCUUCUCACUUUUCUUAUCAAAUUGAUCUCAGCAGUUCCUAUACGUUUAAGGGUUAUUUUAAGGAAUGGAUAAUAAAAGGCUGGGCACAGUGGUUCACAUUUGUAAUUCCAGCAUUUUGGGAGGCCAAGGCAGGAGAAACAAUUGAGCCCAGGUGUUUGAGACUAGCCUAGGCAACAUACCAAGACCCAGUCUCUAAAAAAAAAAAAGGUUAAAAAUUAGCAGGGCAUGGUGGUGCAUGAAGUCCUAGGUACUCAGGAGGCUGAGGCGGGUGGAUCAUUUGAGCCCAGGAGUUUGAAGUCACAGAGAAGCGCUGUUGCCGUCUGGGAUAAAUAUCAGAGGUUUCUUGUCUCAUGCCAAGGGAAUCAAGAACGCAGACACAUAAGAAGUUAAUUUAAGAGCAUUGGUUUAAUAGGCAAAAGGAAGAGAAAAGGGAAUACCUCUCUCUCUUACAGAGAGAGGGGCUCCUGAGUGGGACUUUUGGUCUCAUGGUGAAACGCAAAGGGUUUUGUAGACAAGCUUGUGGAGGCAGUGUCUGAGUUACAUAGUGCCCGAGAGAUUGGAUGGACCAGGUGUGCCAUUUACAUAGCACGCAAAGAAGCUGGCUACCCCACCCGAAUCUUUUAUUAUGCAGAUGGUCCUCUAUCUGGCCGGAGCCAUGUUGCCUGUUUCUUUACUGUACACAUGGUUGACAAAGAAAAGGGAAAAUGGAGCCUCCAUGUUGAACAUGCCCCACCCCCAGUUAGCCUUUUCCUAUUGGCACAGCUGUUGGCAUUUACCUAUGCAAGCUUCCAGCUUGCUUAUUUAUGUCUGCAGCUCAAUUUUUCAGGCUGCUCUUUGUUAGAAAAGAAAUGAUUUAGGAGCUACUUGGUAAGAACCCUCAGUAUCGGCCUAAAUAAUUUCUUUCUAGUUCCAGUAUCAACAGUGAGCUGUGGGCCAGGUGUGGUGGCUCAUGCCUGUAAUCCUAGCAUUUUGGGAGGCUGAGGUGGGCAGAUCACUUGAGAUCAGCAAUUCAAGACCAGCCUGGCCAACAUGGUGAAACCCCUGUCUCUACUAAAAAUACAAAAAUUAGCCAGGCAUGGUGGCUCAUGCUUGUAAAUCCAGCUAUUCGGGAGACUGAGGCAGGAGAAUCGCUUGAACCCAGGAGGCAGAGGUUGCAGUUAGCUGAGAUUAUGCCACUGCACUCCAGCCUGGCUGACAGAGUGAGACUCCAUCUCAGAAACAAACAAAUCAGUGACAAAUCAGUGACAAACAAACCAAUGCAUUCUAGCCUGGUAACAGAGUGAGACCCUGUCUCUAAAAAGAAAAAGAAAAAAGCCCUGUACAGUGGCUCACGCGUGUAAUCCUAACACUUUGGGAGGCCAAGGCGGGAGGAUUGCUUGAGCCUAGGAGUUUGAGACCAGCCUGGGCAAUAUGGCGAAACCCCGUCUCUGCAAAAAAAUACAAAAAGUAGCUGUGACAGCGUAUGCCUGUAGUCCCAGGUACUUGGGAGGCCGAGGUGGGAGGAUCGCUUGAGCCUGGGAGGCAGAGAUUGCAGGAGCCACAAUCGCACCUCUGCACUUCAGACUGGGCCGCAGAACAAGAACCUGUGUCAAAAAAAAAAAAGAAAAAGUAUGAAUGACAUGAUGCAAGUGAAACACAGCAGUAAAUCAUUCAAUAAAUGUUCGUUAUGACCAUGGAUACAACUAAACAGUCCUGAAUUUGCUAUUUACAUUAGUUCGGAAAGUCCCUAAAUAUCUCUGGAUCUCAGUUUUAACAAUCCAUGAAAUGAAUGAGAAGGUUAGACUAAGUCAGUGGUUCAAGUUGUGCUGUGGAGUCCUAGGGCUUCCCUGAAGGACAGCAGAGAGGGGCUGGGAGGCCAGCAGACAGCCACAGAAUAACCUACCUUUCUUCAACCAAAGCUGUUUAGCUUUCCUCUUCUUAAAUUUUUGUUUGAG
rnacentral:lncRNA from 1 species